rnacentral:rRNA from 1 species
CCUACGGGAGGCAGCAGUGAGGAAUAUUGGACAAUGGAGGCAACUCUGAUCCAGCCAUGCCGCGUGCAGGAAGACUGCCCUAUGGGUUGUAAACUGCUUUUAUACAGGAAGAAACCUACUUACGUGUAAGNAGCUGACGGUACUGUAAGAAUAAGGAUCGGCUAACUCCGUGCCAGCAGCCGCGGUAAUA